GAAAAUGUAACCUCUCAUAGCUGCUAACUAUGAGCCUUGCAAUAAAUUGUAACAUUUUCU
rnacentral:tRNA from 1 species